rnacentral:rRNA from 1 species
GUGGCGAACGGGUGAGUAACACGUGAGUAACCUGCCCUUAACUCUGGGAUAAGCCUGGGAAACUGGGUCUAAUACCGGAUAUGACUCCUCAUCGCAUGGUGGGGGGUGGAAAGCUUUUUGUGGUUUUGGAUGGACUCGCGGCCUAUCAGCUUGUUGGUGAGGUAAUGGCUCACCAAGGCGACGACGGGUAGCCGGCCUGAGAGGGUGACCGGCCACACUGGGACUGAGACACGGCCCAGACUCCUACGGGAGGCAGCAGUGGGGAAUAUUGCACAAUGGGCGAAAGCCUGAUGCAGCGACGCCGCGUGAGGGAUGACGGCCUUCGGGUUGUAAACCUCUUUCAGUAGGGAAGAAGCGAAAGUGACGGUACCUGCAGAAGAAGCGCCGGCUAACUACGUGCCAGCAGCCGCGGUAAUACGUAGGGCGCAAGCGUUAUCCGGAAUUAUUGGGCGUAAAGAGCUCGUAGGCGGUUUGUCGCGUCUGCCGUGAAAGUCCGGGGCUCAACUCCGGAUCUGCGGUGGGUACGGGCAGACUAGAGUGAUGUAGGGGAGACUGGAAUUCCUGGUGUAGCGGUGAAAUGCGCAGAUAUCAGGAGGAACACCGAUGGCGAAGGCAGGUCUCUGGGCAUUAACUGACGCUGAGGAGCGAAAGCAUGGGGAGCGAACAGGAUUAGAUACCCUGGUAGUCCAUGCCGUAAACGUUGGGCACUAGGUGUGGGGGACAUUCCACGUUUUCCGCGCCGUAGCUAACGCAUUAAGUGCCCCGCCUGGGGAGUACGGCCGCAAGGCUAAAACUCAAAGGAAUUGACGGGGGCCCGCACAAGCGGCGGAGCAUGCGGAUUAAUUCGAUGCAACGCGAAGAACCUUACCAAGGCUUGACAUGGGCCGGACCGGGCUGGAAACAGUCCUUCCCCUUUGGGGCCGGUUCACAGGUGGUGCAUGGUUGUCGUCAGCUCGUGUCGUGAGAUGUUGGGUUAAGUCCCGCAACGAGCGCAACCCUCGUUCCAUGUUGCCAGCGCGUAAUGGCGGGGACUCAUGGGAGACUGCCGGGGUCAACUCGGAGGAAGGUGGGGACGACGUCAAAUCAUCAUGCCCCUUAUGUCUUGGGCUUCACGCAUGCUACAAUGGCCGGUACAAAGGGUUGCGAUACUGUGAGGUGGAGCUAAUCCCAAAAAGCCGGUCUCAGUUCGGAUUGGGGUCUGCAACUCGACCCC